UUCCUUGAAAUAUUAAUUUCCCUUAUUUGUUCCCCCCUCCUCCACUAUAUAAAGAGACUCCUUUUAUACAUUCACACAUUCAUUCACUCUCAAUCACAAAACUCUCUCAUCAUUCUCCCUUCUCUCAUUUGCUCUCUUGCUACUUAACAAAACAUUAAUAUUUCGGUAAUUAUUCAAGGGUUCUUCUUUGCUAUCUUAUUACUUUGUUCCAGUAAAGGUUGAAUCAAUUCGUUUUGCUUAACGGGUUUCAUAUUUGAAGUUCAAGUUGAAGAUUAACUGAAGAAGGAUUUAUUUAUUUGUUUGAAUGUAUAUAUAUAUCUAUAUAUUUUUAUUUUUUCGCUAUUUUAUUUAUCCGAAUGAUGUAACAAUUGUAACCCUAAAGAUCAUAUAAUAAAUUUAUUUGGGGGUCGUCUA